CCCAGUUGUAAAGUUAAAUUUAUCGGUAUUUGUACAUCCAAUUGGUCGUUGCUUUGCCCAUUAACUUGGACAGUUGAUGGGAGUUGAACAUGCAUUGUCGGAUUAAUUCUCAAUUAAUUUGUGACCGAAUUUUCAAUCCUAUAUCUUUGGCCUCCUGUUUGUCUUUGCAUACUGCUUGUUUUUACAAAUGCAUAUCAAACUCGUGAAUACUUUCUUACAGCACUCGUAAUUUCCGUCUCACUGUUAGAGAUAUUUUUGUUUUGCUUUUUUGUAUAAAUUUGUAUCUUUAUAUUUUGUGCUGAAAAAAUACUGGAAUAUUUAUGACAGGUAGAAGAAGUACUUGACAAUGAAUUUUCCAAUAGUGCAAGAAAAUCAAAUAUGAGAGAGGAAGAACAAAGACGUAUCUAUACGUAUUGUUGAGAAAGAUAAAGAACCAAAGGUAUACACGAUCGUGUUGAAAUUCUCAGGCAAAGAUUUUACGUAAAUAGAAAACAUAAAGAUAUCAAUCACAUAUGAUAUGGAAAGUUGUGCCCAUCUUAAAGAGUUUUGGCGGUCAAAAACGUGCUUACUUUAUAGUUGAAGACAUGAAGGGAAAAGAGAAGUCAGGCGCGGGAAAUGGAUAAUUUUGAAGAGAAAUCUCGAAAGGAAA